UGGGGAAUAUUGCACAAUGGGCGCAAGCCUGAUGCAGCCAUGCCGCGUGUGUGAAGAAGGCCUUCGGGUUGUAAAGCACUUUCAGCGGGGAGGAAGGCGAUAAGGUUAAUAACCUUGUCGAUUGACGUUACCCGCAGAAGAAGCACCGGCUAACUCCGUGCCAGCAGCCGCGGUAAUACGGAGGGUGCAAGCGUUAAUCGGAAUUACUGGGCGUAAAGCGCACGCAGGCGGUCUGUCAAGUCGGAUGUGAAAUCCCCGGGCUUAACCUGGGAACUGCAUUCGAAACUGGCAGGCUAGAGUCUUGUAGAGGGGGGUAGAAUUCCAGGUGUAGCGGUGAAAUGCGUAGAGAUCUGGAGGAAUACCGGUGGCGAAGGCAGCCCCCUGGACGAAGACUGACGCUCAGGUGCGAAAGCGUGGGGAGCAAACAGG
rnacentral:rRNA from 1 species